rnacentral:rRNA from 1 species
AUUUUGCCCAAUGGACGAAAGUCUGCGGCAGCAACUCCGCGUGAGGGACGAAGGCUCUCGGGUCGUAAACCUCUUUUCUCAGGGAAGAUCCAAGACGGUACCUGAGGAAUAAGCCACGGCUAACUACGUUCCAGCAGCCGCGGUAAUACGUAGGUGGCAAGCGUUGUCCGGAUUUACUGGGCGUAAAGAGCGCGCAGGCGGCUGGUCAAGUCCGAUGUGAAAGCUCCCGGCUUAACUGGGAAACUGCAUUCGAAACUGAUCAGCUUGAAGAUGGGAGAGGGUAGUGGAAUUCCCGGUGUAGUGGUGAAAUGCGUAGAUAUCGGGAGGAACACCAGUGGCGAAGGCGACUACCUGGCCCAUUCUUGACGCUGAGGCGCGAAAGCUAGGGGAGCGAA